rnacentral:rRNA from 1 species
AUCUAUGGUCAUACCACUGUGAACAUGCCCAAUGUCGUCUGAUCUCAGAAGCUAAGUAAGGUGGGGCCUGGUUAGUAUUUGGAUGGGAAUAAGAGGAGUACAUUUCCACACAAUGCCCAUCCCCAGAGCUCUAUAUC